CCCCUCAGGCCACCAGAGCCCGGA
rnacentral:piRNA from 2 species